UGCAUCGGCCGGGAAUCGAACCCGGGGUGGCAGGCGAGCAUUCUACCACUGAACCAAAAGC
rnacentral:tRNA from 1 species